GAUGAACGCUGGCGGCGUGCCUAAUACAUGCAAGUCGAGCGAACGGACGAGAAGCUUGCUUCUCUGAUGUUAGCGGCGGACGGGUGAGUAACACGUGGAUAACCUACCUAUAAGACUGGGAUAACUUCGGGAAACCGGAGCUAAUACCGGAUAAUAUUUUGAACCGCAUGGUUCAAAAGUGAAAGACGGUCUUGCUGUCACUUAUAGAUGGAUCCGCGCUGCAUUAGCUAGUUGGUAAGGUAACGGCUUACCAAGGCAACGAUGCAUAGCCGACCUGAGAGGGUGAUCGGCCACACUGGAACUGAGACACGGUCCAGACUCCUACGGGAGGCAGCAGUAGGGAAUCUUCCGCAAUGGGCGAAAGCCUGACGGAGCAACGCCGCGUGAGUGAUGAAGGUCUUCGGAUCGUAAAACUCUGUUAUUAGGGAAGAACAUAUGUGUAAGUAACUGUGCACAUCUUGACGGUACCUAAUCAGAAAGCCACGGCUAACUACGUGCCAGCAGCCGCGGUAAUACGUAGGUGGCAAGCGUUAUCCGGAAUUAUUGGGCGUAAAGCGCGCGUAGGCGGUUUUUUAAGUCUGAUGUGAAAGCCCACGGCUCAACCGUGGAGGGUCAUUGGAAACUGGAAAACUUGAGUGCAGAAGAGGAAAGUGGAAUUCCAUGUGUAGCGGUGAAAUGCGCAGAGAUAUGGAGGAACAUCAGUGGCGAAGGCGACUUUCUGGUCUGUAACUGACGCUGAUGUGCGAAAGCGUGGGGAUCAAACAGGGUUAGAUACCCUGGUAGUCCACGCCGUAAACGAUGAGUGCUAAGUGUUAGGGGGUUUCCGCCCCUUAGUGCUGCAGCUAACGCAUUAAGCACUCCGCCUGGGGAGUACGACCGCAAGUUUG
rnacentral:rRNA from 1 species